CUUGCCCGCUGGCGGCAGGCCUAACACAUGCAAGUCGAACGAGUGGCGGACGGGUGAGUAAUGUCUGGGAAACUGCCUGAUGGAGGGGGAUAACUACGGGAAACGGUAGCUAAUACCGCAUACCAUCAGAUGUGCCCAGAUGGGAUUAGCUAGUUGGUGGGGUACCGGCUCACCAAGGCGACGAUCCCUAGCUGGUCGGAGAGGAUGACCAGCCACACUGGAACUGAGACACGGUCCCGACUCCUACGUGAGGCAGCAGUGGGGAAUAUUGCACAAUGGGCGCAAGCCUGAUGCAGCCAUGCCGCGUGUAUGAAGAAGGCCUUCGGGUUGUAAAGUACUUUCAGCGGGGAGGCGUUACCCGCAGAAGAAGCACCGGCUAACUCCGUGCCAGCAGCCGCGGUAAUUC
rnacentral:rRNA from 1 species